rnacentral:rRNA from 1 species
GACGAACGCUGGCGGCGUGCCUAAUACAUGCAAGUAGAACGCUGAAGGAGGAGCUUGCUUCUCUGGAUGAGUUGCGAACGGGUGAGUAACGCGUAGGUAACCUGCCUGGUAGCGGGGGAUAACUAUUGGAAACGAUAGCUAAUACCGCAUAAUAGUAGAUGUUGCAUGACAUUUGCCUAAAAGGUGCAAUUGCAUCACUACCAGAUGGACCUGCGUUGUAUUAGCUAGUUGGUGGGGUAACGGCUCACCAAGGCGACGAUACAUAGCCGACCUGAGAGGGUGAUCGGCCACACUGGGACUGAGACACGGCCCAGACUCCUACGGGAGGCAGCAGUAGGGCAUCUUCGGCAAUGGACGGAAGUCUGACCGAGCAACGCCGCGUGAGUGAAGAAGGUUUUCGGAUCGUAAAGCUCUGUUGUAAGAGAAGAACGAGUGUGAGAGUGGAAAGUUCACACUGUGACGGUAUCUUACCAGAAAGGGACGGCUAACUACGUG